rnacentral:lncRNA from 1 species
GGUGGAACAUGGUGAGAUGCAUGCAGGAAAGGUGCCGCUUGAGAUUCUGGAGUUGCGAGGGAAAGGGCAUGUUCAUUAAACAAGGAUGCAUAUUUCCUUCUAAGAUUGCAAACAUGAGGGUGAGUACAUUUAAAUAGCACAUGUUGUUCAUCCUGAACGUCAUCGUGAGCAUCACACAGAUCGCACUUAGUAUCAAUAUUUUCAUUCCAGUAGUUUAGCUCAAUCCUCAAAAAAUGAACACGUAACCGAAAGCAGGCAACACUGCGUAAAAUAUGUGUGGGCAGAUCCAAAUGGAAGUACUUGGGCAAACAACAUAGGGAGAAGGUAGCAUGAGCGUCACGUUGUGGAAGGGCACACCAAUGAUGGUAGGUGAACGUUUUACUGUUUGUGUCAGGUUCCCGUGGCUGACGAGCAGUAAAAAAGGGUUGCUGCCAGAAUGCCAAAUGACGUUUCCAAAGGUCUACAACAAGUUGACUCAGAUUCAGAGGACUGCCAUUGAUAAUAUGAUGAUGGUAAGAUGGAGUAUGCCUAAGACCUUGUGUACCAAGCAAGAGAUGAGAAAUCCAGCAUGCAGGAUGGAAUUGGCUGAGUGAAAUGUCUGCCUGAAAAACCUUACGAAGGAGAGGGCUAUUACAAAAAAUGAGGUUGUUGUAAAGGCGUGCACAUGCUCGAAGCCAAUUCAAUUGCAUGGGUUUUAAGCCACAUUCCUGUAACACACUCCAUGAAGGUGUAGAAUUCCUGACCCCUAGUAUGGUGCGUAAAAAUUGUAAGAGCCACUUUAGAAUGCAAUUUUCCAUCUCUUGACCCUGUUGCAGAUAGGAAGUGGCCCAAAUCUGAGAAGCGUACAUGCCUGCUGGGAUGACAUAAGUUUUGAAUAACCAGAGAUACGCAUGUAAACGAUGAGUGAGACCAUGUUGUUGAAUAAAAGUACGCAUUCUGGCCAUGCUUGCCAGGCACAGCUUGAUAGCCUCCUCUGCAGCUUUGUUCAGAUUAAACUUCUUGUCACAAAACAUGCCUAGAUAUUUGAAAUGCUCAGAGAAAGGCAGUUCCUCAUUGUUGUACAGGAGAGUAGGCAUAUUGUGACCCUGCGAAUUAAAACACACCACAACAGAUUUCUGUGUGUUGACGGUCAGGAAGUUGUCACGGGAGUAUGUGGAAAGGCGAUUCAGCAUUUGCUGUAAAUUGGACGGGGAGUUAGAAGUGAGGCACAGGUCGUCAGCAUAAAGGAUAUGGGAGACAGCAAGGUUGGGAAUUCCUGUACACGCGGCUGGGAUAUCAUGAAAGAUGCUAGGGAUGUCAUUCAGGUAUAAGGAAAAGAGCAAAGGAGAUAAGGGACAACCUUGUUUGACACCAUGUGUUGCUUUGAUACGCGCGUGUUUGUCUCCAUCAACCAAAAUGUAUUCAUCAUCUUGGUACAGAUUCAUAAGAAUAUGAAUGAAAUGUGAAGGCAGUCGACACUUCUGUAAAUGUUGCCAGAGUCGAUGUCUGGGUACAGAGUCAUACGCUUGCUGAACAUCAUUAAAGGCAGCAUACAGACGAGAAGAGUGAUGUGGUUGAUGAAUUUGUGCAGCAUUCCUCAGAUGACAGAGAAAAAAGAGUGGGUGAAGAGUACUGCGCCCAGGAUAAAAACCAAAUUGAGAGUCAGGUAUUGAAUGAGUUUGCUCACACCAGUCUUGCAAAAGGGUACGAAGCACAUUGGUAUAAAGGCGAUAAAAGGUCCCACUUACAGCAAGCAUGCGGUAAUUACUGGCAUGUACAAUGGAACCUUUUUCACACAGAGGGGUGAGUUUAGUAGUCUUCCACUCUGAAGGUAUGGAGGCUUUAAUAAAAAGCAAAUGAAAAAAGGUUGAAAUGAUUGGUGUCAGAACAUUGGUUUGUUGGAAGGCUCUGCCGUCAUCAUGCCUAGCCACUGUGCAAGCAUACUUGAGAAAAGCUGGCAAAAUAGAGUCAAAUCCUGGUGAUGAGCUACCGUUGAGGCGUGAAAUGUGGAGCGCCACAAUCUUAUGUAUUUGACUCUCGUCAGGAAGAGGAAAACUAUCAGAAGAGGGCGCAUCGUCUUGUGACUGGUGGUGCCCACUAAGGGAAGGAACAGUAUGUGCAUGAAGUGAAGAAGAGGAGCUCGUGGAUCGUAGGAAAACUUUAGACAGAUGUUCCUGCCAUGCUGGAAGGGACACGGGUGUGGUAUGUUUGACAGGUUGUUGUCUCAAGAAAGAAUGAACAGAUGGAUCCUUGCGGUAAAGUUUGUCCAUGAAAGCAGCAGCGCGCGCAUGGGUAAAUCUGUGUUUUGCCCGUUGUACUUGCGCCUUGUAUUGGCGAUGAAGUUGUUGGCAAGCAUGCCAGGCUAGCCCAGAUUUAACUGCGAGAAGAAACUCUUUCUUUCUGGUUGCACAUUCCAGAUCAAACCAAAAGGGUCGUCUAGAAGUUGAACGAGGAAAAGUUGACCUGGAUAUAGUCAUGCCCACUCGAGGGUCACACGCUGUCUGUAUAAUCCAAGAUUUGAGCUCCUACUAUGACGAAUCAACAUCUUGUGCCUGAAUAUGAUGUAAAAAAAAGUUACGUUUCUCGUCAUUGUUACGGAGGAUUUGAGCAAAAAGGGUGGCGCGAUCCGGUCGCCAUCUUAAGAGAAAUUCUUGACAUUGUGAGGGUAAAAGAAAAUUACAUAUGGGUGAUUGAAGUCUCUUAUCUAGAUGCCCUGUUGGACUGGAAGAGGGGACAAAAAAAUUGGAUAGAGCGGCGUGGUCAAAACAUACAGGAUGUGAUUUUAGCACCGUGCAAUAGCGAGAACACCCCUCUACUCACCCAAAGUCCUCUGACCCCUCAGCUGCUGCCCCCCUAGGCAAGUCAACCUCUGCCCGCACUGACCGCUGUGCCCCAUCAGAAACACGCAGGGUCCAGCCCCCGGCAAGCACCAGGCACGACACCCCAGAGCGUCGCCCACCACUCAGGCCCAAGCGCCAACCAUCUUCCUCACCUAGCUCCUCAUCCUCUUCCUCAGGUGGUUCCUCUCGCAGGUCCAGCUCACUUGGGCGUCAAGAACGCAGCAGACACACCCCUCACAAGAAACCUAAACCCUCUGCAACUCCGCCUGCACGCGCGCCUGCCACUGGUCAACCACCGCCCGCAGGCUACCCCACUGCACUCACUCCUAGACCUGUGACAGGGUUUGAACAGACCCCACGGCAACAGCCUCAAGGCUCUGCUGGAUGCCCUGACCAGGAAGAACCACUAGACUACGGCCCUGCGCCUGACCUCCAGGUCACAGCAACUGGCUCUCUAGACUUCUCACAAAGCCAGGAGCAGCCACCCGCUGCACCAGAGCCUCAUCCCACACCCCACGCCACCGCACAGACCCACGCAGGCACAACUCCAACUCAGCCUGGCACAACGCCUGUAGGUCAGACGAACACAGGUACAGCUGGUGCCCAACCCAACAUAGCCACUGCUGACACCGGUCCUGCCUCGACUGCUGGUGCUGGCUUGCCCUUCCCUGUCAACACUGCCCCUGCUCUGCCUCCUGCCGCUGGACCUGGCCAACCAGCUGCUGCCCCUGCUGGCACAACAGUGUUUCCUGGCUCUGCUCCACCGCCCUCCAACGCUGGCCACACCCCACCUCAGUCUGUGGUAUACCCUAUUGAAGCCGCAGCUCAUCUCGUUUCCAACCCGCACAGCCCUGUCCCCUUUGUGCCUCACAGCGUCCACAUCACCAUCCAACCUUCAAACCAGGGUCAGGCGGCAUUGGCACAGUUGCGUGAAGUGCACCAGAAUACGUGUAACUACGUGCAGCAGCAGGUUAACAGCUUGAUGGAUGGGCAGUGCAUCGUAAUUGUGUCAACUGAGUCUACCCAGGUCAGUGGGCUUCUCCAUUAGCUUUAGACACCAUUGACCCUGCAGCUAGACGUCUCUCCGGUAUCAUUAGCACAGGUGUGCAAGGUAAAGCGCAACAGGUGCACUCAUCCCCAAUCAAUCUACCGCCACCUGAGCCCAGUGUUUUCCUGCCAUCUCCAGCACAUAGCGCGCAUCACUCUGCCCCCAACUCCUCUCGUGACAACUUCCUGACCGUCAACACACAGAAAUCUGUUGUGGUGUGUUUUAAUUCACAGGGUCACAAUAUGCCUAAUCUCCUGUACAACAAUGAGGAACUCCCUUUCUCUGAGCAUUUCAAAUAUCUUGGCAUGUUAUGUGACAAGAAGUUCAAUCUGAACAAAGCUGCAGAGGAGGCCAUCAAGCCUUGCAUGGCGAGUAUGACCAGAAUACGUACUUUUAUCCAACAACAUGGUCUCACUCACCGUUUACAUGCGUAUCUUUGGUUAUUCAAAACUUAUGUCAUUCCAGCCGGCAUGUAUGCUUCUCCGAUUUGGGCCACUUCCUAUCUGCAACAGGGUCAAGAGAUGAAGAAUUGUAUUCAAAAGUGGCCCUUGCAAUUUUUACGCACCAUACUAGGGGUCAGGAAUUCUACACCUUCAUGGAGUGUGUUACGGGAAUGUGGCUUGGAACCCAUGCAAUUGAAUUGGCUUCGAGCAUGUGCACGCCUUUACAACAUUCUCAUUUUUUGUAACAGUCCUCUCCUUCGUGAGGUUUUUUAGGCGGACAUUUUACUCAGUCAAUUCCAUCCUGCAUGCUGGGUUUCUCACUUCUUGCUUGGCAUACAAGGGCUCAGGCAUACUCCGUCUUAUCAUCAUCACAUCCUCAAUGGCAGUCCUCUGAAUCUGAGUCAACUUGUUAUAGAUCUUCGGAAGCGUCAUUUGGCAUUUUGGAAGCAACCCUUUUUUACAGCUCAUCAGCCUCGGGAACCUGACACGAACAGUAAAACGUUUACCUACCAUCACUGAUGUGCCCUUCCACAACGUGACGCUCAUGCUACCUUCUCCCCAUGUCGUUUGCCCAAGUACUUCCACUUGGAUCUACCCAGACGUAUUAUACACAGUGUUGCCCGCUUUUGGUUACGUGUCCACCUUUUGAGGAUUGAGCAAAACUACUGGAAUGAAAAUAUUGAUCCUAAGUGCAAUCUGUGUGAUGCUCACGAUGAUGCUCAGGAUGAGCAACAUGUGCUAUUUAAAAGUACUCACCCGCAUGUUUGCAACCUCAGAAGGAAAUGCGCAUCUUUGUUUAAUGGACAUGCCCUUUCCCUCUCAACUCCAGAGUCCCAAGCGGCACCGCUCCUGCAUGCAUCUCACCAUGUCCCACCGCAUGCCAUGCGAUCUUUUUUGAUUCAAAACAAUGAUAAACUUUAUCCUUUCCUGCAUGAAAUAUUACUUCUUUACAGGGUUAGAGGAAAAAAAGGCCUUCAGUCAAAAUGCGCGACUGCUAGCCUGUUCAUAAAAAGCAACAAUUUCAUGAAUAAAAUAGACAAGUUUAUUAUUAACUUGAAGAAGAAGAUUACGUACAUCUUGAGCCUUUUGGUUAUUGAAUAGAAAGGCACACUUAGCACGCAAUGCAACGACAUGAGGGUGAGAACAGUGAAAAAUUGUCAUGCCACAUAAGUGCGGCAUCUGAUUCACCAACUUGGUUUGACUAUCCACUAACAUUCCAGAGGCUGAUCCAGAGCAGGUUAACAGUAUUGAAGAAGUGGGUUUAACGUCCAGAGGCUAGGUAACUCUAGCACAAAGGACAGCUGCCAAAUCCUGAGCAGCUUGACUUACUCUGCCUACCUGAGGCUUGCUUAGCUAAUUUCCUGGCUGGAACCUGACAAACACGAUACGUUACCACACUUUGGGCUGCCACACCAGUCCCCUCCCCAAGGGCUGAUCGGCCUUAGCCGGGCAUACUCACGAUGGCGGUCUUCUCACUUGAUGAGUAAUGAAUACAACCAAAGCCAGAAACACGGAAGUCUUCAAUACUGGCUGUGCCAGUCUCUCAGCCACCAUAAAUAUCAGGUUCAACGACCAACCGCCAAUCUGAAGGUCAGCAGCAAUAUAGCAAUGACAAAAAUCUCGCGUGACAAAAUAACAUGAUUUUCAUCUUGAAUACGAUCUACAUCCUGACACAAAUCACAAUGAGAGGAAGAACCCUGAUUCCAAGUAGAUGUUUCAUACUGAAGAGUAUGGACACGAAGCCUAAAGCGGGAAACAUUGCGAAGAACAUCAUUGUGAAGGGCAAGGUAGAAAUAUUUGGGAAUCUUAGAAGGGGCCUGGGUGGCUACAAUGUUGCGGAUAGGCAGCGCACACCAAUGAUGAUAAGUACGGUGUUUGCUAUUCCGUUGCCUGGGAGUGGGGCCGGAGAACUGAGUCCAAUAUUGGACCUGCCUGGAUCUGAGGUCUACCACAAAUUGUCGAAGGUGAAUUGGUUCACAAUUCAUUAUGUUGAUCUUAAAUUGACUAGCAUGAUGCAAUCCAUCCAUGGCAUUGAUUAUGUGUGAAGACCAGCAGUCACAAGAGGAAGAAAAUAAACAGAUAUCCGCCUGCAAGACCUUUCUGACCGUGAUGAGUGAAAGAAAAGAAAAGAAAAGAAAAACUGCGUAGGCAGAGAAACUCCCCCUACAUCAAUUAAGGAAAAGGAGACACAUUGGCUCCGAAGAGCCGUGAGUCUCCCCCACCACAAGGAAAGAAGGAAAAACAAGUGGGGAUCAGGUGGGUUUCUAGAGGCACAAGGCCCUAGAACCUGGCUGUGGGAAGUAACAUUGUUUGCAAUGGCACGUCUGGUGGUAACAAGUUUGUGAGCGUAAAUAGCGGAAUGGGCAUUCAGGCUACAAGCAAGUUUAGUGGCACGUUCGUGGCUCAGACCAAGCUUUUUGAAUUGAUUGAGGGUUUGCUUGAUGUAACUUGUUCCGCCAACGCCCAGGAGAAUGGGGUGAAUAGUGACACUUUUAGCAUCAAUGAGUUUGCUCAAAUGUGCAUGUUGUUGCUUAUCUUAGCCGCCGCCAAUUUAUGCUCGGGUCUCGUAUCCUCACAGUACUUUAUUUCAAUCAGGUGCACAUGCCUUUGGUUGGGAGCUAGAUGGUGAGGCUGUCUCACUCGGCUGGCCGUGCUGGUCCUCUGCAUGUUCCUGUGCCUGUUACGCAACAUAUAGCGUGAGGGAGAGUCAGAGGAUGAAGAAGGAGAAGAAGAAUUGGGUUUGGCAUUAUAAGGGGUGAUUAAGAUAGCAUCAGGACGGCUGGUAGUGAGUCUAGAUCUCUCCAAAAUGUUUCGAGGAAAUCAGUAAUCAGGUAUAGUUCUGUUUGAAGCAUGAGCAGGAAGUUGAAGAUAAUGCUGUGCUAGCCGUUCAUGUUUUCCUACAUCUGUAUAAAUCAAGCCUGCUCCACGAGGGCUUUUGCUAAGAGCUUUUAUGAUCAUUCUGCCAUUAUGACGUUCAGUUUUCAUGUUAGAGAUGAUAUGAUUUUGGCAACCAGAGAGCAUGUGGAGAGCGCUAUCUAGUUGUUGACAGCCUGGGAAAGGGCAAAGAGGGUCAGUGGAUCGUUUAAAGCGCACGGCAUGUUUUUGAUUAUAGAGGGUGCCAGUACGAUAUUGAAAAAUGGUGCGCUUUACAGAAAAAAAAAAAGAAAAGAAAAGGCUACGCAGUCUUGAGGCCGCGUGCAUUAAGGGAAGAAACCCUAACAAAAGUUAGAGGCCUCACCAAGAGGCCCUACAGGAAAGGAUAUUCCAGGCAUGGUCCUGAAGGCAUUACUGAUCUUCUUUUCAACUUGGGGUAGCAAACUUUGAUAGUAAGGGUAGUAACCUAUUUUGGUAUUGGCAUAUCCAAGCUUGUGUUUAGAGUGCAUGUGUAGCUGGAGUGCAGCGUGGAGGUUGGAAAGGUAUGUGAGUUUUGAAGUGUGUACAGGGGCUAUGGAAGUGCUCGCGGCAUGUUCCCUUGUUUCCUCCUUGGCUAACCAAAAAAUUCGUGAGAAAGGGUUUCCGGCAGGGCCUGCACAGGGGAUUUCAGUAUCCGCCACACUGUUGUUUGCUUUGUCAGCCUGAUACUUUGCUAUAGCAUCUGCACAUUCAUUCCCGGAAAUGCCUGCAUGGGCUUUUACUUUGCGAACAUAAAUUUUGACAUGAGAGUUCUUAAUAAGAGUUAAUAUAAUUCUGAGGAUAUCUCCUUGGAUGUGCUCCCUGUGCUUCUCAGGAUACAAAAUUUGUUUGCCUAUUUGACAAGAAGAAAUGAGGCUGUCUGUUCCAAUGUGUGCAUGGCAGUGGGUGAUGGCAGCAGUAACACCUGCUAAUUCUGCUCGGGGUACGUUGUUUGUGAUUCCAGCACCAUUUGGCUCUACAAGGAUUUUGCUGUCAGACAGGGGAUGGUACACGCCUACCCCUAUUCCUUGCUUUCCAUUUCGGGAAUGACAGCUGCCAUCAGUGUACGCCCAUGUCCUCCAGUCUGGGACUUUGAGGGCAAGGUUGGGGUUCAGCAUACAAGCCGCCCUGUUCAGCAUACAAGCCGCCCUGAUGCUCUAUUUGUGCGGCACAUCCCAGGCAGGCAAGCCCAACUUGAUCCUACCAAGAUUCCACCGCAAGAUAGAGACAUUGACCUUGUUGAACUUAAAUUCUGCUCUGACACUAAUCCUGCCAGCGCCUUGGAGCGUGCACAAACUCAACAUUCCCACACCAUUAGCAGACUUAAAACACGCAGCUUAAGAAACGCAAACAGGAAUAAUAAAGUAACUUUGCACACCAUCUUAAUUGGUGUUGGUCAGGGAAGUUCAGGGGGGUCUGAGAAAUUUCGGGUCCACCCGAAGGCCUGUUUAAAAAUUUUCGGGUCUACCCGACCUGCCUUUCAAGACCUUCGGGUUUAGGUGCUAAAAAAAAAAACCGGCCGGGGGCUGACGCCCCCGGCCGGGUGAGUGCGAUGUGGAGUACUAAUUUAUUUGAGCCUACCUUCUUUCACCAUUACCUUCCCUUUACCGCCAGCGCCGUACCCCUGAGCAUGGGCGACCCCGGGAAUUUCCGGUAUUCUCAUUCGGACUUGCGUCGACCUCUCAGGAGGUCGGGGGUUCGAGCCGCUUAGAUGCCCUCGAAGGCAUAAACAGCGGAAACACUUCCUUCCUUCCUUCCUUCCAUUACCUUUCAAAGAAGAUCUUGUAUACCCAUACAAAUUAUUUCCAAAUUUCUUCAUCCCAAAAUUCCUUCUUGUUUACCCAUACAACUUAUUUCCAAAUUUCUUCAUCCCAAAAUUUCCUCCUUUUCAUAUACCCACCAUUUUCUUUUAACACAGGAGGGGAAUUUUGAUUUCAAUCCAUGGGAAUUUUUUUGGACUGCUGCAUGGCAGCUGCAUGUCAUAGGAGGGGGCUGCAGUUUGCUGCAUCACAUGUGUUACAAUUGCCAAAAAAUGGAGGGUGUAAUGAAUGCAAAAAAAAAAACAAAGGUGUCCACAUUUACAGAUCGUCCAACUCGGUUGCUGCCGCAUUCACACCCAAGUCCAUCAUGCUCCCCUCCUCAUUCAGAUUGCUGAGGCCAAAGCAAUCCGUUCCAUCAUCAACUUCUCCAUCCUCCUCCUCCCCUUCACUCAUCCAUGCUCCCACAUCAUCUUCUUCCUCAAUCUCAUCUUCCUUGGACAUAUCUAGAUCUGGCUCUACACCUUCAUCUACUCCAUCAGCCAGCAAGCCCAAUUCAAUAUCAUCAAUUCUCUUAAACAGAUCCCGCAAUUUCAUAUCCUCCCUUGAGCCAACAGGGACGUAAUUAUGUAUUCUGGCAGCAGCUGCAAAAUCAAAUGAUUGCAAAGGUUGCCCCAGGGUGAGCAACUUGAUGCGCAACAAAGAAUCAAGCGUCAUGAUUUUCAGACGAUUAGUCAACCUGUUUUUCAAGAUGCGGUGCAAACUGAAGCCACGCUCAACAACAGCAGUUUGCACAGGUGUUAAGAACAUUAUGUUAGCAAAAAUAAUCAUUUUUGAAUACACUACUGCAUCAGGGCUAUUCCGCAACAUGCCCCACACUGCCACCGGAUCAACAAUUUUAUAUGUAUUCACCAAUGUAUGCAUUGCUUGCUUCAUGACCAUAAAUUCAUGUGCAAUGCUAGCCCCAUUAAAAUCAAACAAUUUCUGUGAACCCCUCUCUUUGCCACAGAAGUGCGCGAGCAAGACUUUAAAGCUCUCCCAGCCAAACUUCUCUAGGCUCUCAACAGGCAUAUUCAAGUAAAAACUGGGAAUAAAAAUAUGAAAGUGCCCCAGCAAAGCGCAGCUCUCAAACCGCUCUUUAAACUUUUGUACAAUAAACUUGGCUAAAUUCCUCAUCUCCCUCUGCAAAACAAGCAAACUGCACUUCCUCAUUUUAAAUUUGAAUUGAGGGCUUGGAAUCCACCAGCCAUCCUUUUUCACUCCCGCACAAAAGGCUUUAAAACGGACCAAAUGUACACUUUUUAAAUCCUCUGCAGAAACAAACAUUUGUUCAAGCUGCUGCACUGUUCUGUUUACAUGAUGUACAACUUCAUGAGGCAGAAUACUGUCUGACUGAAGCUCUUUGCACAGAAUAACAACAGGUUGCAACAUAUCUAAGACCAAGAACAAGGUACUCACUGCCUUUAAGCUCAGCAACCUCUUUUUCACCCUUACAGCGACAGGCCAAGAGCGGGGAUUAUUUGUUGCAGACUGAUCAUUAUACUGACUCAGGAAUGCAAGCAGAACUGGCAGGUUGGAACACAAGACAUCCAAGCACUCUGCUCGGCUGAGCCAGCGCGUAGGCACAUACAACGGAAACUUCAAGCGUUGCACACCUCUUGCCUUGGCAAAAUCUUCCCAUUCUUGCUGACGCUUAUGGCUUUUACUAAAUAAAUUGUGCACAGCCUUCAACAAGCUGUCCACAAGCUGCAGACAUUCAUUUUCUUUCCCGGCAUCAUUCAUGACUAGCGCAGUCCUGUGUGCUGUACAGUGAACACCAACUAUAUACGGGCACAGCUUUUCCCUCAACUGCUGCUGCACACCAGUGUGCAGCCCCAUGUAAUUAGAUGCACCAUCCGUACACAUUGAAAUAAGCUUUUGCUUAUCUAUACCCAAGGCCUCAAGAAUGCCAAGCAAAACGCUGUAAUGGUGACUUGCAUCGUCUGCUUUUGCGCUGACGCAGCACAGAAAUACAGUGACAAAAGCAAACGUGCUAGCAUCCAGAAACCUGAUAUACACCAUGAUGUGGUUCUGCGUGCUUAUAUCAGUCCCUCCAUCACAAAGCAAAGCAUAAAAAGGACUUACAUUAAUUCUUGCAAUUGUGGCGCUUAAUAAGACUUCGCUACAAGCAUACAUAGAAGACCAGAAGUACCUACGAUGGUUGUAUUUGUGCAAAAUUUUACUUGUGCAUGCCAGGGAAAGGAGCUGCAAAAGAGAUGCAAACUUCUGCCCAGGAACACCCUCUUUAAUGAGCCACAAGGCAGCCAUGAGCAUCGUAGGAAGCACACUGAGCACGGUAGACUGUUGCUUGUCAUGCAUUUUUUGCAAGCCACCACCGAUGCUGCCUACCCCACCAGCACUUGCAAUUGCGGUAUUCUUGGCUUGUAUGUGUCCAGCGGAGGACUCAUGGUCUCUCAGGACACCCGCAUCUCCAAUCACAGCACCAUGGCCACCAUCAACUUUCCCAGCAAACUUGGAUGCAGACUUGCUAUGCUCACGACAUAUGGUGCACACGCCUUUUGGAUGGCCAUACUCAGACUUUUUGCCCGUAUAUUGUAGCCAGGGAUAUGACUUCUGCCACUCUUUCUCCUUGUUGUCCCUGGCUUUCCUGUCCUUCUCCGCCUUAUCCUUCAGAACUUGCUCUUCUUGCUUCCUUUUCUUCUCCCUCUGCUCCUCUUUCCACUACUCUUUGGACUCUUCUGCAGGAGAAAGGGAGGCCCCCAGUGGUCAGUGCAAGUUGCAUGCAAUUUCAAGCUGCUGCAGCACCAACUUUGGCUGGGAAUUGUGCAGUUCAGCAACUGGUCCUCACCAGUCUCAGUGACCUCGCAGCGGACAAGCCCCAGAGUGAGGGGAAUGAUGACGAGGGAGACGAGCUUGGUGAGCGUGGAGCGCUGCCGCUUGCUGCCGGUCUGCUUGCUGCCCGAUGCUGAGGCUCCAGCGGGAGCGGGAGCAGGCGGGAGGUCCACGUACGGCUCAAGCCUGAGGGGGACAGGGUUGGGGCCAGCCCCCUCGGGCCACGAACGCUCACCAGACGCCCCUCUGAGUGCCAGCCUCGCUUCCUCCCAGGUGUGGUCAGAGUUCAGCAAAUCCUGCAAUGUCUCCCUGAACUCAGGGUCUGGGUGCUGCUCCAUCCACUCAUUGGACCAGGCCUCAGGGGGAGUGUUGGCUGGCUGAGAGGGGGGCUGAGGAGGAGGGGUGGGCUGUGGGGCCUGGGAUGCCCCUGCCUGCAGGGGAGCCCCUGCAUGGGACGGAUUUGUGGCCUUCAGAGCAUGGCACUCUGACCCAUGCAUGCUGUUGAUGCAUGCUGACCCAAAUGAGGAUUGAUGCCUGCCAGCAACUCAUGACUUACAAAGGGAAGCAAUUGUAGUCUGUGACGUGGGCGGGGGAGGAGGCUCUGGAAGGCUGGGCAUGGGGCCUCUGCCCCGCCCUCCCCGUCUCCCUCCUCUCCUAGCCAUGGCUGCUGAUGACCCUGGCUGAUUCUGCCUACGUUGAAAAAUGCACCCAAAGUACAAAUUAUAAUGUUCGGGAAAGAAAGAAAGAAAAGAAAAAGAAAAAGAAAAGAAAAACUGCGUAGACGGAGAAACUCCCCCUACAUCAGUUAAGGAAAAGGAGGCACAUUGGCUCCGAAUAAUGUUCGGGUCCUACCCAAACGGGACCUGGCAUUUUCAAGGAAAUUUUGGGUUUGACCCGAGCGGAUUUGGCCUGCGCCUCGGGCGCAGGCCAAAUCCUUCAAUUAUUUUCGGGUAACCCGAGGGUUUGAACUUCUUUGGUGUUGGUGGCACAAUUUACAACAACUUCACUAUUGCACCUCUUAUAAAUCUGGGCCUGACCAAACAAAAAGCUGAAUCACUAGCUUCCCAACUCAGAGACCAUGCCAUCCAAAGAUUAUCCACCAUCAUUAACACAAGACAUGCACUUUGUUUUCAGGGAGCAUCUGGGAGGGGAGGGUUUGCUGGGCGCGCGGCUGUGGCUGAGGAUGGAAGAAGGAGUGUCCGAGCGCUCAGGGGCAUGGCGGCCAAUCCCCCGGAUCCCCAUUAGUUCUGUUUCUUGCUCUCUCCUAGGCUAGGUUCGUCUAGUUUAGGUGGAGGGACUCUUGGUGAGGCCUCUAGCUUUUGCUAGGGGUUCUUCCCUUAAUGCACGCGGCCUCGGGACUGCGUAGACUUUUCUUUUCUUUUCUUUUCUUUUCUUUUGGGGUUGGAUUGGUGAGGCAUAGAGACUACUUCAAGAUUGUCUGUGGAUGCAUUGUUAAAAGCUGUGGAAAUUUGCUGCUUGUCAGAAGGCAGGCAUCACAGCAUGCAUGGCUUUGAGAAUGUCAUGGCUACUGACACUGCGCAGUUUCCAAUUGGCUCUAGGCAUAUACUUACUGAUGUCACUGGCAAGGUUUUGCAGCCAAGCUGGGUUAUGGCUGUUAAGAUGGAUCCUUGCAGCAGGGUUCCAAAACGCAAUAAUUUGUAUAUCCAAGCUGUGCUGAGGAAGAGGUAUUUCUUGAUUCGGGCAUGAUUGAGGGGCUUUGUAAACAAGGUUGGUCUUCAUCUACUUAUUCGGAAAGCGCGUGUUCCAGAUGCUUGGAAGGAAGCUAAACUCACCCCAAUCCACAAGAAAGGCCCCGUUGUUUCUCCAACUAAUUAUAAGAUGAUACCUGUGAGCGCUCCUAUCUACCGGUUGUACACCAAUGUCCUGAGAUCCAUUAUUCAAGAUUGGUGUAUCCACCACAGGAAAAUUCCUGAUACACAAUAUGGAUUUUAUCCAGGAAGAAGUACCCUUCAACCAAUCUUCAUCCUACAACACCUGAAAAACGCAGCCCAAAAAGCUCGGAGUGAUACCUCCAGAUUGUUUACAGCAUUCAUUGAUUUUCAGCAAGCGUACGACUCUGUUCCUUGGGAAAAGCUGCGGAAACAUUUGUAUCAUUGUCGUCUACCUCAACAACUCAUUGCUAUUCUCCAGGAUCUGUAUCACAUGGAUGUAUAUACUCUGCUUGAUGGUGACAAAAUGGCUAGUGUUCAGCCAGUGUGUGGGGUUAAACAAGGAUGUCCUCUAUCCCCUCUUCUUUUCGCAAUUUAUCUCAACGAUAUUGAUACUGUUGCAGAGGGUGUACAAGGUGCUCUGACAGCCAUCCCAAAUUUAACGGUGACCCAUUUACUUUUUGCUGAUGAUCUGGCUUUUACAGCAAACAGGCAACCAAGUUUACAAAAGCUUCUAAACAACCUGAAAGACUACGCCAUGAGGAAAUCUUUGGUUGUUAAUACGUAGAAAUCCCAAGUGAUGUGUGUAAAUUCCAGGUCUGACAAUCUGCCGACUUUUUUCUAUGAUGGGUCACCCUUAACUUACACUGACCAUUUCAAAUAUCUAGGGAUGGUGAUUGAUAAGCAAUUUCAUCUUUCAACAGCAGCAGACGCAGCCUUACAGCCUCUGGUGAAUGAGACUUUCAAAAUACAGCGCUUUGCUCAGGAGCACGGUCUAACCAACCGACUUCAUGCUCUCAUUUGGUUACUUAAGACUUAUUCCAUUCCUGCUGGUAUGUAUGCAAGUCAGAUUUGGGCAACCCCCUUCCUUAAGCAAGGUAAAGAAAUGGACAACCCAUUACAAAAAUGGAUUAUUGCAACACUUAAAAGGUGGCUGGGUGUCAGAGAUACAACUCCUUCUUGGUCUGUGCUGCGAGAGUGUGGGCUUGAACCGCUACAACUCAAUUGGUUCCGAGCAGCUAUUCGUCUGUACAACUCGUUUACACAAUGCAAUAGCAUCACGGUCAGAAAGGUCUUACAGGCGGAUAUCUGCUUAUCUUCUUCCUCUUGUGACUGCUGGUCUUCACACACAAUUAAUGCCAUGGAUGGAUUGCAUCAUGCUAGUCAAUUCAAGCUCAGCAUAAUGAAUUGUGAACCAAUCCACCUUCGACAAUUUGUGGUUGACCUCAGAUCCAGACAGGUUCAUUAUUGGGCUCAAUUCUCCGGCCCCACUCCCAGACAACGGAAUAGCAAACACCGUACUUAUCAUCAUUGGUGUGCGCUGCCUAUCCGCAACAUUGUAGCCACCCAGGCCCCUUAUCAAACUCCCAAAUAUUUCUACAUUGCCCUUCCCAAUGAUGUUCUUCGAAAUGUUGCCCGCUUUAGGCUUUGGGUCCAUACUCUUCGGUAUGAAACAUCUACUUGGAAUCAGGGUUCUUCUUCUCAUUGUGAUUUUUGUCAGGAUGUAAAUUGUAUCCAGGAUGAAAAACAUGUUAUUUUUCACUGUACUCACCCCCAUGUCGUUGCACUGCGUGCUAAGUAUGCCUUUCUAUUCAAUAACCAGGAGGCUCAAGAUGUUCGUAAUUUUAUUCUUCAAGAUAAUAAUAAACUUGUCUAUUUUAUCCAUGAAAUUGUUACUUUUUAUGAACAGGCUAGCAGUCGUGCGUUUUGACUGAAGGCCUUUUUCUUUCCUGUAACCCUGUAACCCUGUAAACAAGGUUGGUCUUCGGGAUGGUGCCAAUUUCAUAGCAUAUGUGGGGAAAUGCAGAAAUGAGUUUAAAGCAGGGGUUCAUUAUCAUUUGUUUUCCCCAAACAGGAAGGAACAUGAAGGUAGCAGUGGCCUCUGUGUUGUGAAUGGCAGAAUAAAUGGCAUGUCGCAAGGUUUGUGUCAUAGUACCCUCAUUAUAGAUGGGAUGGCAAGCAGAGAAGCCUGAAAACCUGGAUGAAAGAGAAUUAUGGAGGGCACCAAAGACAGCGUGUCGAGAGUCAGCACUCCAGUAGUGUUGGUAAUGUGGGUCGUGGUCUAAAGGGGAGGCCAUCUUUUCUUGAGUUACUAAGGCCCAUUUUUGGAGUGCUGAAUAGAUGUCUGCAGGUAGGGCCCGUGAGAAGGAGUCUUUGAUCUUUUUGCUAGAGUAUUUGUUUUCAAGUAGUGUUUUGCGGGAGAGAAGGCCUUGCAGCUCAGAUGCAAAGCUGGCAGGAGCUGGCUUCAUUUUGUCGUGCAUGCCAUGAAGCUUGGCUCUAUAAAAUGCCCUGUAGAGGAUAAAGGAACGGUUAGGGGAUAUCAUCCCAACGCAUUUACCUUGUGUGUUAUAAAUGCAAGCCAUGUGCGUCCUGUAGACCUCCGGGAGAAUUAGUGUAGGAGAACGGACGGAGGGAUUGGGUGUGUGGACCAGUGUCAGGUGGCGCUUCAGCAGGAGCUUGCUCAUCUUUGUAUUUCACAAGGCCAAUUUCAUGCAGCCAAAAUUCGCAGGAACCAGUUGACUUUAUGUCUGCUUGAGGAUUAGUGGGGUUUAGAUCAAAGAUGACUUUGUUGCGCAGUUCAGUGUCUAAUUUUUGCUUCCAUACAUUUGAACUGUCAAGUUUCUCAAAGCCUUGUCUUUCUAGAUUAGAUAGGUCAGAAUCUGCGGUGGGUAAGGAGAGGUCAGGUUCACUUUCCCUGGCUUGAAAUUCAAGGAGACGAGUGUGGAAUUCAGGCCAAAGGUCUUUGGUCUCUUCUGGUUCCCAGGUGGGCUUCCAGGUGACCCUCCAUAGUUCAUGUUUGGACUGUUGUUCCCUGUCAGCUUUUUCCCUGUCAGCCGCGGGAACCUGAGACGAACAGUAAAACGUUCACUUACCAUCAUUGGUGUGCCCUUCCACAACGUGACGCUCAUGCUACCUUCUCUCCGUGUCGUCUACCCAAGUACUUCCAUUUGGAUCUACCCACACAUAUUUUACGCAGUGUUGCCCGCUUUCGGUUACGUGUUCAUCUCUUGAGGAUUGAGCUAAACUACUGGAAUGAAGAGAUUGAUCCUAAGUGCGAUCUGUGUGAUGCUCACGAUGACGCUCAGGAUGAACAACAUGUGCUAUUUUAGUGCACUCAUCCUCACGUUUGCAACCUUAGAAGGAAAUAUGCAUCUUUGUUCAAUGGGCAUGCCCUUUCCCUCUCAACUCCAGUGUCC